CCCAGAGGCCGCCUGGGGGCGGGCCGCGCCUCCAGAGCCCCAGCCCUGCUCGGGCUCUGCUCCGGUUCAGCUCUCUUCCCCUAAUUGGCUUCUCCCGGGAGUGCUUGCUUGGAAGCGUCCGAGCGUCGGAGGCGUCCACGGUUCUCGGGACGCGGCGUAAGCCGCUCCAACUACUUUGAGCCAGUCCUGUCCGAAGCCUGCAAGUUUGAGGACUCCCUUCCAGGGUGAGAUGGUCGCGAUGAAGCGCGGUACCCCUGGCUAUACGCACCCCCCGACGCGCCUGGCGCGCGGUGGCCGCGCGCUGAUUUAUAGGUUCGGUGUUUGGGUGUGUUUCAGGUUUGCUAUCGUAUCCAGUUUAGAGGCGUAAAAUUCCUGCCCUGCACCGCGCCUAGUUGCUAUUUUGGGGGAAGCCGGGAUCACUGGAGAGGCCGGUAUCCCAGAGGAGGGGAGAUCUCUCUUUAGGUGCUGCAGGUCGUUACAAACUCCAGAGAUGCGCGGCCCCUCCCCCCAUCCUUCUUGCGAGUGUUGGGGGGAGGGGUAAUGCACUAGCUUUUCCCAGGGAAAUUUCGGAAUAAAAACUUUUUAUUAAAAAUAACAAUACCCUCUUCCCCCCUCCCCGCCGCGCGCCUUUCGGAUAAAGUGUGCGUUGCCAGAUUCGCACUUGGCAGAGAUUUUACAUAGUCAUAGUCCUGACAUUAAAGUUCCCGGUCCGCGAUCGUCAGAAGGUUAAGCUGGUCCUUUGUGCGCCGGCCUCCGGCUAGACCAAGUCUCCGUGCUCUCGGCGGCCAGUGGAGGCGCGCUGGUGACACUGUCUCGCUUCGAGUACCACUUUCCCAGCCCCAAUCCAUCACUCCGAUUGUCAGGCCUGUCGCUCGGGGCAUAUUGCUCCAGGACUACCCGUCCCCGACUCUGCCGCGCCUUGAGACAACAUGAGAACUCAAGAUGGGGAUAGGUGAUUUCAAAGGGGCUCUUCAAACAGAAAGAAAUAACUAUCACGGAAAUAACAAAUAGCAAUCACGAACCUUUAUCAUGCCCAGUGAAGACAGCAGGCACCACUCCCAGGCCAUGACAAUCAUACACUAAACUAAAUCUACUCCCUGGAUCCGUGCUGAUUUUUGGGGCAGUAUGAGUGGACCUCUUAGCAAUACACAGGUUAAAAAAAUGCCAAGGGCUGCCCUGACUGGGAGAUGUCUUUCAUACUGCAGCAAGAGGGAUACAAGCAGGGGGGGAUCCCAUUUAUUUUAUUGUGGUGGUCUCUAUUCCCCGCCCCCCCAGCUCUUCUCAUGCCAGCCUCUGAAGUCUGACAUUGCUGUCACUGCCAAUACUACAUUACAGGGCUUCUUCAACCUACAGGGCCGUUCGGCCUUUGGGAGACUGCUAUGCCGACAGCGAACAGGAGAGUGCCUUCCAGAGUGGAGAGGGUGGGCCUUUGGGGCACCUUGGAGGAGGAAGAGCUGGGAAGAGGGGAGACCUAGGGGACAGUAAAAGAUGAAAGACUCCUUCUUGAUUAUUGUAACUAGCCCAGCUGUGAAAGCCCACCAAGAACUCCUUCUAGGGCCCAAGCAGAUGUGUGUGUUAGGAAUGAUUAAUGGGAAAUCAGUUGGGAGGAAAGGGGAGGGGGAGAGAGAGAAAGGGCAUUUAGGAAUUUGGAAGGAAAAGAGGAGCAGGAGGCAGCAGAAAGGAGAGAGGAGAACAGAGGAUGAUAGAAUGUUUACUCUCUAUUUGGAGAGGAAGAGAGAAGAAGAAGGUAGUGAACGAAUGAAAGAAAGGGAGAAAGGCGGAGGCUGGGACAGGAUGGCUCGUGGUGGCGGGUGGGGAAUUUGCCUAGGUAAUAAUAUAUUGUCCUUUAAAAAACCCCACUCCCUUAGCUCACAGCAGUAAUCACUGAUAGGAACAGUGGGCGCCAGACAGCGUGGAGGUGGAGACCAGACCUGGCGUCCCCCUACUCCCACCACAUUGGAAAAUGCUAACAAGGGAGUAGGGACACCCUUCCCUUUGGGGUGCUGGUAAGGGCAGCAGGGCUCCUUUGCCUGGCUCCAUCCAUUUGCCUUAGGAGAGAACAUGGAACACCAUAAUUAGCCAGGCCGGAAGCCUAAUUAAAAGACAGCUAGAGGAUUAUUACAAUCAGGAUCUGACAUUCACUUACCUGAACCUGUAACCUAUACAGAGUCCUAAAAGGGGCCCUAGUAGUCUAAAGCAAGGACAGCUUUCAAAGGAAUGGCUUGUCACCAGAAGAGAAUAAGGCUCAGUAUUCAGUUGGGCCAGGUUUAUUGAGGGCCAGCUGUAGGCAGAGCAUGUGCUAGGGGUGUGGUUGAAAAGUCCGUGCAAGACGUUGUCGCAGAGGGUAUAUGGCACACGGCCUCCCCUUGCAGAAAAGUGGCAGAUGUAUGAUUAAGGGGUCUCCAUCUAUCCAGGCCCUUCUCAGAUUGCCCUGGGAGUGAGCAGCACCAUUAAAAUAGGACAGGGGUGAGCGCUGCUGGAGACUGCCCCGUGCCAUUGUGGUGAAGAGUAACAAUUCUAUGCUGCUGGAGACUGCCCCGUGCCAUUGUGGUGAAGAAUAACAAUUCUGUGCGUGGGGCACUUGAUAAACAUCAGGUACUGUUGUCAUGCCCAUUGACAACUGAAGAGAGGGAGGCGUGGAGAACUUAGUCCCUUGCCCAAAGUCACAUGCCGGGUGAGUGGCAGAACGGUCACUUGGGGUCUGGGCUCUGGGAGGCAGGCCUCUGAACCAUGAUGCUGGGGUGGUCCCUGGCAAGCUAACCUCCCCAAGCUGUUGUUUCUCAUGUGCGAAACGCAAGAGUGGCCACCUCAGAGUUGGGAGGCCGGAAGCAGACAACGCAUGUCACACGUUUAGUGCUUGGCACUAAGAAAGGCACAGGUAAAUGAGGGCUGUGGUCCAUGCAUCAUCUGUGGGGCAGUUGCUCUGGAGAGCAGCCAUGGUGCCAACCGAUCCGGAGGGCACAGACCAGAAGACCCAAGCUGUCCAAGAAUUCUCCGGAAAUGAGAGUCACCCCCUCCCCCAGCCACCAGUCAAAUCUGUCUUUUAAAAAAAUGCCCCCACAAGCCAUCAAGAAAAUCCUUUAGGAAAUUCUGAAUAUUUAUAGAUUUUUUUCCACGACUUCAAUUUACAGAAAAUUCGCCACCCAGGAAAAAAUGCCUGAGUCAGGUGGAGAGCUAGAGGUGGGAGGUUUGUUGUGUGGGGUUACCGUGGAGCUUUCCAUCCUCGCUGAGGCAGAAUUGCCUGAAUGAUCGGCUCUCUCUGCAUAACACUCAAACCCUAAUGGCAACAACGUGAAGUAAUAUCUCACUGGGUAACUAUUUACAUUUUUUUUUUUUUAAUAAGCUGUAAGAACUCUGAAAAGUCUGCCUCAUAGAGAACUUGGUUUUCCUCCCUGGCGCUUAAUAUCUUUCAGCGGCUGGCAAUUACUGUCUUGGCCGGGAGCCCUGAUUUCGCGCACUGCGCUCAGGGCACUCGGAGGCGCUUCCUCCGUCUGCCCCAUCCCCGGGCUGCAGACCCAGCUUGGGCAUGAGAGGGCCAGACGGGCAGAGGAACAGUGGGAGCAAACCAGAACAGCCAGCCUUGCAGGGAGCCCCCUCGAGUAGCUCCCUCUUCCAUGUUCUCAUAGUUCUAUUAUGUUCUAUUAUUACACUUAUCACAUGGCAUCUGUCAUUGUUUGUUUACUUGUCCACUCUCUCACUGGACUGCGAAUGCUGCUCUAUUGUGCCCAUCCUCUUUGUAUUCUUAUGGCCUAGCAAGGUGUUUAUCAUCCUCACAGUAGCCAACACUGAGAGCCAGGCAGUGUUGUCAGCACUUUGCAUGCAUUACCUCAUUUAAUUCUCACAGAAGCCCUAUGAGGUAGGUCCUGUCAUUACCUUAUUACCCCAUUUCGUAGAGGAGGAAAUGGAGGCACAGAGAGGUUAAGUAACUUGCCCAAAGUCCCAGCUGCUAAGAGGUGGGGCUGGGGUGUGAAUCCAGGCAGUCUGAAUGCCAUAAGUGCCCAAUAGAUGUUUGUUGAUGAAUGAAUAAGAAUUUUACACAGAGAAGGCUAUUGAUUGAUUUCACACCUCAUCAGAUUCCCAAAAAGAUUCAAGGCGGAUGACUUUGUAUAUUUCAAAAUGUUACCUAUAUAAGCUGUUCAAGUAUCUUUUCCCAAGUACAUGUUUGUGUUUAUCAUCUCGCAACAAUUUUCUGAGUUAUUUUGGGCAGGUGUUUUUAUCCCUUUUGAUGGAUGAAGAACCGGGCUCUGAGAGCUUCUGGGGGAGUCUGAAGUCACACAGCAAUGCUGGCAGAGCGCCUGGAAGAGGCCUUCCUGACUCCCUCCUGAUUCUAUAUCACUGCUGAUUGCCUCGUGGAUGAGGAGCUGUUCCUCCCUAAAAGUCUGGAGAGAAAAUUAUAGAAGAUGAGACCUUCCCAGGCUUGACGCUGACCCCACCGGAAAGGAGAAACAAUCAAGAGAACAAAAAUCAAGAACAAUCAAGACAGUACGGAAAAGGAAGAAUGAAUUUGGGCGAGAAAGAAGAUACUGUCAUCACUACAUGAUCAUGUUGAUAUGGGAUCCACUGGAUUAAUUCAACCAGCUUGUCUCUUCCCAGAUUGGGUAGCCCAGGUCUGUAAGAUCCUGCACCCAGGAGCCUGCCUAUGCCCAGUGGCAGGGCUGGGCUGCCCCCUGCCCCUUCAGCUCAGACCUGGGCAAGAUGGAUAGUUAAAGCAUUUGGUCAACUUCCUUGGGGACACAAAUUCAGACCUUCUUAGAACACACCUACCCCGUCAACCACCCUGCAAGCAAAGCAGGAUAUUGGUUUUUUAAACUCCAAUAUAUUUUGCCAAAUAAGAGAGUGUUAAUACCCCUCCCUCCCCACUCCGCAUGAAUUGGAUUACUUAAGGCAUCUUUUCAGAGCCGUCAGCAGUUUAAUAGAGGCAAUAAGUCAGGGCUGCCCUUGUGUUUUAUUUUUCUGCCAGUAUUUAGUUAAUUAAAGAAUGCAAAUUAAAACACCUUAAUUUAUAUAAUAUCAAUACCAACGCCUUAAAACAUUUGGCAUAACUGCUCUGGCACGUCCCUUACAUAAACUCUCCAGAGCAGUGCUAAUAAAAAUGAAAAAGGUUGUAAAUCAAAUUUAAUUUAUUCAUCUUCUGUUUGGUACAAAAUCAUAUGCCAAAAUCCAGUUAUUUAUAAGCACCUCAUAACAAUAGGCAUUUUUGUUGGUUGCCAACGACAAAAAGGGUUUUUCCCAGGGAUGUGUGUUUUAAUUUACAAAUGUCUCUAGGUACAUCUAUUUUCUGGGCUCUGAUCUCGAAAAUUUAUAUUUUUGCACCCUAUCUCCAGAAAAAAAAUAGAUUUAGAUAUUGAAAAACAUUGAGCCUAAAAACAUGGCAACAUUUGCUCAGAAAGGCACCUGCAACCAUCUAUAUGGAGAAAGACAUAUACAUACGUCCCAUGGAGUAUGAAUCUUCAGGUGAGAUAAAAGCUUGGUGAUUUAUAUCCGAUUUCUUAAAUAUUCCAUUAAGAGGAUUAUUCGCAGGAGGCUCCGAUACAGACAGCGUCGGAGGAGAUUGGGUGUGCUGCUGCUUUCUUGGAAGCCUUGGAGAUGAACCACAUGUACGUGAAUGAAUAGCCGAACACCCAUUUUCAUCCCUCCCCGCCUUUGCUGGUAUAUCUUUCUUUGUCUGGCGGAUUUGAGCGUAGAGUACAUUUUAUUCAGUCCUAGAGGAAGAACAGUGGGCUCCAUUCAGGGGUACUGAGGGAUGGCAUGCUCCCUCUGCUUCCCAUGGCAAAGCUCCCUAACGCAAUUGUCCUUUGAAACUCCCUUCCUCACCCAGCUUUCAGCUCCCCUCUUUGCUCAAACAGGUCUCGGGGCAUGUGGGAGAGUUGAGAAAAGCUUUGGAAAAGCCCUCUCUACCCUAUCGCGUCCUUAAAAACCUGAGCAAAUUCACAAAUACAACUCUCUAGCUAGCCCAUGGCCUCACUACUUGGGAGGAAAAAAUCCAGUACUAUACUAUACCCUAUUUUUUUCAUUAUCUUUUAACAUGAGAUUACAAGCUUGGCACAAGAGGUAGAAUAUUGGGGUUCCUCAUUUGGGGAAAUGAUGCAGAAGUGGCAUGUGGCAUCUCUCUGUGACCUGGGACAGUCAUGGGUCCUGGGCUGCCACUAGGUUGUGGGGAUACUAAUACAAAACUCCAAAUAAAAUACAUUCAGGCGGUUCCCUUUCUGAUGUUAAAAAUGGUGAUGCAACUUUUACAUUGCUUCCAUUUGGAGCUAAUGGGAUGCCCUCCCUAGUCUCAGAUUCAUUGCAAUAAUGAUCUAGAAACUUACAAUUUGUCAAGUAGAUGCUUCUUUUUGGGGGGUACCAAGCAGAGCCAGACAAGGUCUUAGAAAACUUAACUGCCCCCCCCAACUCCCCUCUACCCCCUCCACCCUAUAGUGACUCACUGGGUCAUGGGAACAAAGUCUGGUGUGGCAGACAACCCAGCUUGAGGGGCAAGCGGAGCUUCUUGCAUUUUGUCAGGACACCUAGCAUCAGUUUCUCUGCGGCGGGACUGGAGGGAGUGCUGUGGGCAGUUCCUCGGGGCGUCCACGUGGAGCCUGUACAUCCCCACGUGUGAUCGUGGGCAUACUCUUUCUCACUUUUUCUUGCUAUGUGCCAUCUUUAAAAGCUAAUUUUUACCUUUAUAUUUAUUUAUACCCCUCGUAGCUCCAUAAAAGAUUUCAUGUUGCUUACAAUUCAAAACAUAGAUACAGUAAAACCUGAAGCCAUUAACAGAAAAGUAACAAGAUCAGAGCCAAGUACAAAGGAGGAGGGGGAGGAAGAAGCAGAGUAAUUAUACCAGAGGGGGAAAAACUUAGAUUAAGGAAAGCUAAUGCAAUUGAGAACAAUACCUGGCUCCUAACUCCCUGGUAGCUUGGCGGGCGGCUGCCAGCUAUUGUAAUAACUAUGGAUUAUUGCACCUCAAAGGCAGGUUUAAAUGCCUGCUGAGGGCUCACUGGAUCUGUGAGCUUGGUCAAGCGACUCCAUCUCUCUGAAUCUCUGUUUCCUCAUCUGUAAAAUGAGGAUUAAGUCACCCACCAUAGGAUUCUUGAGAGAAUGCCAUUCCACAACGAUGACAGUCGCUCUCACUUAGCACGCACUGUGUACAGUUACUCUCCUAAGUGUUUUACAGACAUAUAUUUCAUCAAUUCUAAGAUGCAUUUUUUUCACAUUUAACAUCUCUGACACUGAUUUAAAAAGCAUUGUGUCACAGAUUAUUUCGUAGCAUUUUUUUUCUUUCUUUCUUGGACCUAAAAUAAUGAUGCAUUGUAGAUUAGAUGGAAUAUGUUAUUAACUCAUUCAACCCUCACAAUAACUUUAAGUGGUUUUUUUGGCCCCAUUUUACAGAUGAGAAAACUGAGGCACAGAACAUUUAAAUGACCUGUCCAAGGGCUACAGCUGACAAACAGUGGAGCUGGGAUUGUGAUCCUAGGCUAUUUGACUCCACCACUACACUAUCCUGCCUUUCAAAAAAAAUUUCAGCAACAAUCAUUUCAACAAAAAUUUCACUCUUGGGCAGUGGGGAUAUGAGAUGAAAAGACAUGUAGUUGCCCUAAAAGAUUAGACUCUCCAGUGAAGGGAACCAAUGUGUAAACAAAGCAUUGUAUCUCACGCAUUAAGUGCAUCAGUGGAAAUACAUCCCAGGCACAGAGGCAGAGAGGGGAGAGAUGAUUGGUUUCUUGUAAGCCUCUGCCCUAGUGCUUAGCUCUGUAGCAGAAACUUCCCUUCCAGCAGGUCAGGAGAGACGCAUGUUUCCUUGUCUCUGAGAGGAGUCUGUUGGGUGGACCCUCAAAUGAUAGCCGAUGAGCAACCUCAGUGGACACACUCCAACAGCAGAGAACAGAAAGCACAGGCGCUCCUAUGGCUGUUCCACCUACGAACACAAGAUGAGAGCUGGGGGCAGCAGGUCUUAAGGGAGCAUCAUGCUCUCAGGCAAGGUUUGGAAGUGGCUUUUGGAGCAGAGACAGAGGGAGAGUUUUGGCCUCUCAUUGCUAGGCUGGAGGCUCUGUCCCUGGACACCCAAACCAGGAGGGUGAGGAGCCAGGGGAGGACUUGAAAAGGGGAGCACGAGGAAGGGAAACAGGAAUGACCUACCUGUUUGGAGUCAGCAAGUGCAGCUUCAGGAGGAAUGGACCAACAGUCACUGGGAUGCAGUGAGGGGCAGUGAAGGGAGGAGCAGACUUGGAGGGAGAAUACCUGAGUUUGGGACCAAUUUUGCCUCUUGGGAGCACGUUAUCCUUUGAGUUUCAAUUUUAUCUUCUGUCUAAUGGGCAUAACGAUAUCGCACUCUAUCUCACACAGUUGUUAAAAGAUCAGUAAGAUAAUAGAUGUGAAAGUACUUUCCAACUAAAUAAUGCUACGGAAAUGUGAGUUAUUAUUGCUGUCUUUCCAGCCAGGUACUUGCUCUUUCAUUUCCUUACUGGCUGUGUGAGCUUGGACAAGUUACUACAGGGGAAGCGAGAAAAGCACUGGGAGCACGGCUUGCCCAACAGUCUCCAGCCAUCACUAAAGGGACUUGACUUAGAACUCGAAGCUCCUCCUGGCUGGAGUCUCACUGACCCCAGACCUAGUGAGGAAGCUCGGGGGCUGCAGGAGCCCCUCUAGAGUUCAGGGACUCUGCCCCCAGAUGGGGAUGGGGUUCUCACCUUCAUUACUCAUUGCCUCCACUCCUUCAACCCCAGUCCAGCCGGCAGCAAUGAGCUGACACUGUGAGCGAGCUUUGGGUGUAUCUUCUUCCAAGAAUAAAGGAAGUUCGGCAGCCAGUAAAUCGGUACUUAACAAAACAAAGAAAUAAAACCAAAGCAAAUCCAUUCUGACAGAACUUCCCUGAUAAGGAAUAUUUUCUAAUAGUUCGAACAGAAUAAAACCUAUAUUAUUAUUAUUUUUUUUGUGAGGAGGACCAGCCCUGAUCUAAUAUCUGAUGCCAGUCCUCCCCUUUUUUCCUUGAGGAAGAUGGGCCCUGAGCUAACAACCGUGGCCAUCUUCCUCUACUUUAUAUGGGACGCCGCCACAGCAUGGCUUAACAAGCGAUGUGACCGUGCACGCCCAGCCGGAACCUGCGAACCCCAGGCUGCUGGAGCGGGGCUCGCGCACUUAACUGCUUGCGCCACCUGGCCGGCCCCCAAACCUAUAUUAUUAAAUCAUCUUCUAGACCAAACAAGAAUGGGUCAGAAACCCCACUGGACCCGAGGCCCCGGCCUUAGCCAGGGGGGGUCUGUGACCUGGUUCACUGGUGUGGCCUCCAGGAGGGGGUGGUCCAAAGGUUCCCGGAUCUGAAGGCCUCGCAGCCUGCAGCCUGGGAGGGGAAGGGAGGCUGCCCAGGAGGGGGAGGGGACCGGUGUCAACAGGCCGCUCCGGGGACAGCAGAAGCCGACUCCACCUCUUCUGGCCUUUCCUGAGAGGGAGAGGGAAGGAGGAAGUAGGAGGAGAAAGAGGAGGAGUAGGAAGAGGCCUGGGAGCUGGGAGGGUGAAGCAAAGAGAAGGGGUUAAAAAGAGGAAGGAAGUGAGGAGAAGGAGGAAGCAGUGGGGUGGAAGAGGGCUGGACCAGCGGACCAGGAACAGAGUAGCCAUUUGCGGGCACGUGGAAGGCCUAGCAUGCCCACCCCGCCCCGCCAUGGUCGCCUGGGGGCCCAGUCUCAGCAUGUCCCACUCCUCUCCGUGCCUCACCCUUCUGGGAGGCGCGGGCAUUCCGAGCAGGGCCUGCCUUCCUCGGCAGCGGACAAAAGGCCAUUUCUGAGUUACACAGAAAAUGUGUUACUUUAGAGGGUCGGGGAAAGGCUGGCUGCCGGGCCCAGGACCGAGGGGAGCGUCAGCAGAGGGGGGCUGUCAGUCACCGGGAACCCUCCGUGAAAGGGGCCCCUUGUCAACUUCCCCUGCCUUUGAAGUGACUGGGAUGGAGGUGCUCAAUUAAAAGCCCAUCAGUCUGUAAGUAAAUCAACGCCUAUCAGGCUUGUCACAUCAAACAAACGAUUAUUACCCCAGCCCGCCCACCCCAUUAAUCUGGCUGUUCCUUCUUGACGCUCAGGGUCAGGGCACCAUAAAUCCUGUACUGGAUUGCAGCCACCUGGAUCGGGAUGAAAGCGCUGGCGCAACAAGCGCGGCUCACUCAGGCAUUUCCCAGAGUCCUCCGGGGGCUGGAGGAGGAGGCACUAGAGACUGAGGCAGAACAGACGCAUUGAGACAGGGCGAAUGAGGAGGUCUGACGCUGGACAGAGACACAAGGAGCUAGAGACCGAAAGGAACUGAAGGAGACGGGGAAAAGAGCUGGAGAGAGAGCCCGAGAAAAUAGGCCAAGACGGAAAUAACUGGAAGAGGAGACCAAAAGUGGUUGAGAUAGGUGCCAUAAAAACUCACCCAGAAUGUGAAGAGUGAAUAGAUGCUUCUAGAAGACAAGGAGGUGUCUGGAUGAAAUUUCUCCGACACUGGGUUCUGAGUCUCAGAGUCAGAGAGUGAUCAAGUCUAGACUGCUGUUUCCUCAGCUCCCCUGCCAUUCCCACGGCAGCCCUAAAUGUCACUUAGCCAAGGCAAUGGUGCUGGGGAGAAGCUCAGGGCAUUGCUAAGCGAUGCCCCACAGGAGACAUCAACGUACGUGAUGGCCAGAACUUGAUCUUCUGCAAUGAAAGGAUAUGAACAGACAGCCUGGACUGGAGUGCCGGGUUCUGAUAGUCUGCUGAGCGAGUCUUUAUGAGACGCUUUGUUCCAGGACAUUUCUCCCAGGCUCUGUGGGUUGCUUUGUGGGUUCUUUCUGCUCCUGAGAUCAAGCUUUGGCUUUCCCCCACUGGAGACCAGAAAGACAGGCAGGAUAGGGAGAAGAGCAGACAAGACAGCUGUAUUCUGGGCUUGAAGGAGGGGUUGGUAGGAGGGGGAGGAGUCAGGAAGGAGGUCAAGCCUCCAGCUUGGAAGAACAAGGCAUGCUUUUUUAAGGGAAGGAAAGAACAGUCUUUCUCCUAAUGGCUAUUCCAGAAGUGCCUCAAGGCUUAACCCGCCCUGACUCGUGAUGCCUCAUAUUUAAAAGUGCCAUCACAUGCCUUCCCCAUCGCCAGAGGAGUAAUUCCCAAAAGGAAACAAGGCUGGAAGCAGAGCAGGGGAGACUGAAGAAGGGCACUUCCCCUCACCCUACCAUGGAGUGUGACGCCUAGCCUGGAAGCUUGUGGGAACUUCUUACUAGACAGGGAAGUAAAAUUCUAAAGAAUGAAACUGGACCUCUGUCUUACACCAUACACAAAAAUCAACUCAAAAUGGAUUAAAGACUUUUUGUAAUGUAAGACCUAAAACCGAAAACAUAGGGAAUAAGCUCCUUGACAUUGGUCUUGGGAAUGAUUUUUUGGAUUUGACACCAAAAACAAAGGCAAUGAAAGCAAAAAUAAACAAGUUGGACUACAUCAAACUAAAAAGCUUCUGCACGGCAAAGGAAACCAUCAAGAAAGUGAAAAGGCAACCAAUGAAAUGGGAGAAAAUAUUUGCAAAUUAUAUAUUUGAUAAGAGGUUAAUAUCCAAAGUAUAUAAAGAAUUCUUACAACUCAAUAGCAAAAAAUCCAAACAAUCUGGCUAAAAAAUGACCAGAGGGACUGAAUAGGCAUUUUUCCAGAGAAAACAUACAAAUGGAUGAUAGGUAUGUGGAAAGAUGCUCAACAUCGCUAAUCAUCAGGGAAAUGCAAAUCAAAACCACAAUGAGCUAUCACCUCACACCUGUUAGGAUGGCUUUUCUAAAAAAGACAAUAGAUAACAACUGUUGAUGAGGAUGUGGAGAAAAGGGAACCCUUAUACACUGUUGGUGGGAUUGUAAAUUGGUGCAGCCACUAUGGAAAACAACAUGGAGGUUCCUCAAGAAAUUAAAAAUAGAACUACCAUAUGAUCCAGCAAUUCCACUUCUGGGUAUGUAUCCAAAGGAAAUGAAAACAGGAUCUCAAAGAGAUAUCUGCCCUCCCAUGUUCAUUGUGGCGUUACUCACAAUAGCCAAGAUAUGGAAACAACCUAAGUGUCCAUCAAUGGAUGAAUGGAUAAAGAAGAUGUAAUAUAUAUAUGAAUAUCAUUCAGCCAUGAGAAAGAAGGAAAUCCUACCUUUUGCAACAACAUGGAUGGACCUUGAGGGCAUUAUGAUAUUUGCUAAGCACCUACUAUGUCCAAGUAACAUGCACCACAAGAAGGCAAGGAAGAAUCAGAAACAAAUCCUGUCAUCGUAGGUGAGAGGCCAUGAAUCUUUCAAGAAAAAGCCGCAUCCAAGAAUUCUGCACGUCUUGUGAGGAUGAAUAAAAGGCAGAAUGUCGACUUUCCCACCUUAGCAUUUCAAAAGGAGGAAACACUCCAAAAUCACACACAGGGUCUGUGAUAAAUGAUCCAUGAUUCAGACGUAAUAGAGAAUAUAAAAAGAACAAAGAAAAAAGACAUUGUUAGAGAGAAAUGAGAUUCCCUUCAAAAGAUGUUGCUCCUCACCCACCGUGGUUGAAACUGACCAUCUCUUCAGUGACACAAAUUGGCCAUGGAGGGGCCAAGGAACAUCCCUUUAAGCUGAUGUUCCAGAAAAACUGUUUCUGCACUCUGUGUCAACCCUCAAAAUUUCACUAUAGUUUUAAUAUAAAAAUUGUGAUGAUA